GAUGAAGAAACGUAGCGAAAUGCGAUACGUAAUGUGAAUUGCAGAAUUCAGUGAAUCAUCGAAUCUUUGAACGCAUAUUGCGCUCUUUGGUAUUCCGAAGAGCAUGCUUGUUUGAGUAUCAGUAAACACCUCAACCUCUUCUUGAUUUUUCAAAAGGAGGGUGGACUUGAGCUAUCCCAACAACCUUUACCGGUCGGCGGGCGGCUUGAAAUGCAGGUGCAGCUGGACUUUUAUCUGAGCUAAAAGCAUAUCUAUUUAGUCCUCGUCAAACAGGAUUAUUACUUUUGCUGCAGCUAACAUAAAGGAUAAUUGUCCUCUUUGCUGACUGAUGCAGGAUUUUACGACACUUUAUGUGUUGUUCAACUCGAUCUCAAAUCAAGUAAGACUACCCGCUGAACUUAAGCAUAUCAAUAAGCGGAGGA
rnacentral:misc_RNA from 1 species